AUCAUGACCUGAGCUGAAGGCAGAUGCUUACCGGACUGAGCCACCCAGGCACCCCUGGGCCAAUAUUUUUAAGACUCUUUAAUUUUUAGCUCCUCCUAAGAUAGGUCUAGGGUUGGGCUAAUUUUUUUUCACUUGAGUGCCAUGGCCCUUUUAGAGCUUUUACUGACUGCCCCAUGGAUUCAAGGAGGUAUCUUCAGUCUGGCUGGAGGGAAUAUGCACAAGUGCAAGCCCUUUGUGAGCUCUGGGAAUCUCCCAUCUAACAGCUCUCCAGUAAUUGCUUCUCUCCUUAGAAAUUGUUCUUGUUUGGCCUCAGGGGGUUUCACCCUGUGCACAUACAGAUUGGUAUUUUCCAACUACUCAAGGACCUUUCAUGGAGACUUUGAACUCUUUCUCCACAAGACUCUCUCCUGUCUGAAACUCUGACCUACAUAUUUUAGCUACGUCUCUUUCCUUAACCUUCAGUGUCUGGCUCAACUCAGUGAAAGUUCAGUCCCUUUUAUUGUGCCCCCAUCCCCUUCUCACUUUGCGAUCUGCAAACAACCUCCUCACAGAAAACCUGGGUGAUUAUAGGGUUUACUUCAUUUUUGUCCUUCUCUCAAGAAGCACAGUUCUUCCCUAUCUGUAUUCCACGUAUGAAAAUAGAGGUUUCUUGUAUUUUGUUUGGUAUUCUAGCUGUUUACAGGAGGAUAAUUAUGGGCCCUAUUAUCCCCUCAUGCUUAGAAGCAGAAGUCCCCAGCAGACUUUUAAUAACAUUUUAUUGAGGUAUAACUUAUGUCGUAUAAAAUUAAUUCAUUGUAAGUGUACAGUUCAAUGAUUUUUUGGUAAAUUUAUAGAGUUCCGUAGUCAUUGUCACACAUUUUGAUUAGCCUAAAGAGGACCCUUAUGCCCAUUUGCAAUCAAUACCACUCCCUUCACAGCUCCAGGAAAUCAUUGAUCUGCUUUCAAUCUCUGAUGAACUGUUUUUAUGAAUAUUUCAUAUACAUGAAAUCACAUGAUAUAAAGUCUAUUGUGUCUGCUAUUUUUCACAAAGACUUAAGUUUCUGAGGUUCAACCAUGUUAGAGCACACACUCAUAGUUAAUAACAUUAUAUUCUUAAUAUUAUUACACUGUGUGAAUAUAUAUCACAUUUCAUUUAUGCAUUCACCGGUUGAUAGACAUUUCCAUCAUUCCCAGUUUUGGCUUUUAAGAAUAAUGUUGCUGGUUCCCCUUCUAUCCCUAUUCCAGUUCAGGAUGAUGGAAACUCCAUUCCAGGUGGGUAGAGCAAGAACACAAGGCUCCGUCUCCUCCCAGGAAAGGCAGGCUGCCGGCACUUCUCAUUCCUUGCCAGCUUUGUUGAAGAGGCUAAAUUCCAGCUUAAAGAGAAAAGGGUGAAGGCCCAGCUGAGAGCACAACCCCAACCCAGACAAUGCGAAGAUGGGACCUGAUAACACCGCACGCUAUAGACUGCGUCCCCCCAAAAUCUGUAUGUUGAAACCUCCCUUCCCCCACCAUGUGAUGGUCGCAGGAGGCGGUGCCUUGGAGAGAUGAUUAGGACGUGAGGGUGGACCUCUCAUGAAUGGGACUAGUGACCUUAUAAUAGAGGCCCCAGGGACUCCCUUGCCCCUUCCACCAUGGGAGGGCGCGGAUGUCCGGGAAACGGUCCUCUGUGAACCAGGAAGUGGGCUGCCACCAGACACGGAAUCUGCCAGCUCCUUGAUCUUGGACUUCCAGCCUCCAGGACUGUGAGAAGUGAGUGUUGGUUGCUUAAGCCACCCAGUUGGUGAGAUCUCUGUUACAGCUGCCCAGACGAAGCCACCACAGGAUUGCAUUUUCUUCCCUGGCCCUCACAUGGUGCAGUGAGAACGAAUGCAGCCUUUUGGGAAGAGCCACGUUUGCAAAAAUUGUUCAGCAUCGGGGAAAUAUUCCCCGGAGAGCUGCAGUUCUCCAGGACCACCACCUACAGACCCUGGUGACUGGGGCUACACAGGGGUCCGUCAGCGCUGCGGGGACGGAGCGCCCCCUGGAGGCGGCGUGCUGCAAUGCGGCAGAGGACGCGAGGCCCCUGGGACAG